rnacentral:rRNA from 1 species
CCUACGGGAGGCAGCAGUGGGGAAUAUUGCACAAUGGGGGAAACCCUGAUGCAGCGACGCCGCGUGAGCGAGGAAGUAUUUCGGUAUGUAAAGCUCUAUCAGCAGGGACGAAAAAAGACGGUACCUGACUAAGAAGCCCCGGCUAACUACGUGCCAGCAGCCGCGGUAAUACGUAGGGGGCAAGCGUUAUCCGGAUUUACUGGGUGUAAAGGGAGCGUAGACGGCAAGGCAAGCCAGAAGUGAAAGGGCAGGGCUCAACCCUGUACAUGCUUUUGGAACUGUGCAGCUGGAGUGCAGGAGAGGUAAGCGGAAUUCCUAGUGUAGCGGUGAAAUGCGUAGAUAUUAGGAGGAACACCAGUGGCGAAGGCGGCUUACUGGACUGUAACUGACGUUGAGGCUCGAAAGCGUGGGGAGCAAACAGGAUUAGAUACCCCGGUAGUC